GACGAACGCUGGCGGCGUGCCUGACACAUGCAAGUCGGACGGUUCUUGUACCUUCAAGCUUGCUUGUUGGUGCAAGGAUAGUGGCGGACGGGUGAGUAACGCGUGAACAUCUACCCAUUGGAGGGGGACAACCCGUCGAAAGGCGGGCUAAUACCGCGUAAGCCGCGAGGUGAGAGGCUGCCUAUUGGUGGCCGCCGAUGGAUGGGUUCGCGUCCUAUCAGCUGGUUGGUGGGGUAACGGCCUACCAAGGCGAAGACGGGUAGCCGGUCUGAGAGGAUGGCCGGCCACACUGGAACUGAGACACGGACCAGACUCCUACGGGAGGCAGCAGUGAGGAAUAUUGGUCAAUGGGCGGAAGCCUGAACCAGCCAUGCCGCGUGCAGGAUGACGGCCCUACGGGUUGUAAACUGCUUUUCCCCGGGGCGAAUAACCCCUCGCGAGGGGAGUGCCGGUACCGGGGAACGUAAGGAUCGGCUAACUCCGUGCCAGCAGCCGCGGUAAUAGUCACGUGUA
rnacentral:rRNA from 1 species